rnacentral:rRNA from 1 species
AGCGAACGCUGGCGGCAGGCCUAACACAUGCAAGUCGAACGAACCUUUCGGGGUUGGUGGCGGACUGGUGAGUAGCACGUUGGAACGUGCCUUUAGGUUCGGAAGAACGCAGGGAAACUCGUGCUAAUACCGACUGUGCUCUUCGGGGGAAAGAUUUAUCGCCUUUAGAGCGGCCGGCGUCUGAUUAGCUAGUUGUUUGAGGUAAUGGCUCACCAAGGCGACGAUCAGUAGCUGGUCUGAGAGGAUGAUCAGACACAUUGGGACUGAGACGCGGCCCGAACUACUACGGGAGGCAGCAGUGGGGAAUCUUGCGAAAUGGGCGAAAGCAUGACGCAGCCAUGCCGCGUGAAUGAUGAAGGUCUUAGGAUUGUAAAAUUAUUUCACCGGGGACGAUAAUGACGGUACCCGGAGAAGAAGCCCCGGCUAACUUCGUG